rnacentral:rRNA from 1 species
GCGGGAUAGCUCGGACGAAGCCGGAUUAAUACCGCAUGAGAUCCGAGGAUGAAAGCAGGGGACCCGCAAGGGCCUUGCGCUACUGGAGCGGCCGAUGUCAGAUUAGGUAGUUGGUGGGGUAAAGGCCUACCAAGCCUGCGAUCUGUAGCUGGUCUGAGAGGAUGAUCAGCCACAUCGGGACUGAGACACGGCCCGAACUCCUACGGGAGGCAGCAGUGGGGAAUUUUGGACAAUGGGCGCAAGCCUGAUCCAGCCAUGCCGCGUGCAGGAUGAAGGCCUUCGGGUUGUAAACUGCUUUUGUACGGAACGAAAAGCCCCCUUCUAAUAAAGGGGGGUGAUGACGGUACCGUAAGAAUAAGCACCGGCUAACUACGUGCCAGCAGCCGCGGUAAUACGUAGGGUGCAAGCGUUAAUCGGAAUUACUGGGCGUAAAGCGUGCGCAGGCGGUUAUGUAAGACAGAGGUGAAAUCCCCGGGCUCAACCUGGGAACUGCCUUUGUGACUGCAUAGCUUGAGUGCGGC